AUUGAACGCUGGCGGAAUGCUUUACACAUGCAAGUCGAACGGCAGCACGGACUUCGGUCUGGUGGCGAGUGGCGAACGGGUGAGUAACAUAUCGGAACGUAUCCAAUAAUGGGGGAUAACUAAUCGAAAGGUUGGCUAAUACCGCAUACGCCCUAUGGGGGAAAGCUAGGGACCUUCGGGCCUGGCGUUAAUGGAGCGGCCGAUAUCUGAUUAGCUAGUUGGUGGGGUAAAGGCCCACCAAGGCGACGAUCAGUAGCUGGUCUGAGAGGACGACCAGACACACUGGAACUGAGACACGGUCCAGACUCCUACGGGAGGCAGCAGUGGGGAAUUUUGGACAAUGGGCGCAAGCCUGAUCCAGCCAUUCCGCGUGAGUGAAGAAGGCCUUCGGGUUGUAAAGCUCUUUCGCAAGGGAAGAAAACUUAGCCACUAACAUUGGCUGAGGUUGACGGCACCUUGAUAAGAAGCACCGGCUAACUACGUGCCAGCCGCCGCGGUAACAC
rnacentral:rRNA from 1 species